GAUGAACGCUAGCUACAGGCUUAACACAUGCAAGUCGAGGGGUAACGAGAGGAAAGCUUGCUUUCCUUGUCGACGACCGGCGCACGGGUGAGUAACGCGUAUCCAACCUGCCCCCAACUAAGGAAUAACCUUGCGAAAGUAAGACUAAUACCUUAUAAUUUCCUCAGAUGUCAUCUGACGAGGAAUAAAGAUUUAUCGGUUGUGGAUGGGGAUGCGUCUGAUUAGCUUGUUGGCGGGGUAACGGCCCACUAAGGCAACGUUCAGUAGGGGUUCUGAGAGGAAGGUCCCCCACAUUGGAACUGAGACACGGUCCAAACUCCUACGGGAGGCAGCAGUGAGGAAUAGUGGUCAAUGGGCGAAAGCCUGAACCAGCCAAGUAGCGUGCAGGAUGACGGCCCUAUGGGUUGUAAACUGCUUUUAUACAGGAAUAAAGUUAGCCACGUGUGGUUAUUUGUAGGUACUGUAUGAAUAAGGACCGGCUAAUUCCGUGCCAGCCGCCGCAGUAACAC
rnacentral:rRNA from 1 species